CAUGGCUUAACGCACACAGACUUGGUCAUUGCUAAUGCCCUCUCUCACUAUCUGGGCUCGUGGAAUGUGACCUCCAACCCAGCUAGACGCCACCCAGGUUGCAUCAAAAUAUGAAGAGGUGCAGUGAUGGCUGCCUGUGUCCGCAGGCAUGCUGAUACUACAGCUUUGAUUGCAGAGUGAACUGUUCCCAUUCAUGGCCAAGGGGCGCUAACAGGAAAGUCUGAUGACAAAUUAAAAUGUCAACUUUAA